UAAUUGUGACUACUAGUAUUAAACAGCGGUAUACUACUUUUACCUUCUUUUUACUUUCUCUAUAAAAUAAAAGAAUUGUGGCAUUAUGUCACCCCUGCUUAAUUAAGGUGAAUUCAAUUGCUUCGGAAGGAUAAGCAGUACCUGCUAUACAUAUGACACCCAUAUGGUUUCAAUAACAAUUGUAACAAGGUAUAUUCAACCAUCCAUGUCAAUCAGAUAUAUAUAAAAAAAAAAUCAACGAUUUGCUACAAGAUCGUCAA
rnacentral:lncRNA from 1 species